AGGUUUGGCCUGCGGACAGGAGCUUGUGAGGAGAGGAGAUCGAGAGGCCGUUUCCAGCAGACCUUUGGUUCCCUGUGUGCACUAUAGAGGAAGACGGGAAAGAUGGACGGAGGGUUAUGACGGACGUGAUGAACCGAGGAGGAUUUCGAACAACAUGAGGGCAUAAAAUGUUUGGAUGAAUCUCCCUUUAAGAUUCUGGUCCAUGGCAUACAGCUUAACCAGACUGACUAAACCAAAGUCCAAAACACAUACACACAAACAAAACAUGAAAUAGUGGUCAGAAUGGGAGGAGGAGGAGCAGUGCCGAUGCUGUAAAACAUCAGCACUAUUAGCUCUGGCAGCAGCAUGCAGGCCCAAGGCGUCGCCACCUACAGGAAUCUAUCAGUGUACCCCAAACACCUUCCUGAGUCUUACCAACCUCCCCACAAUCCCCUACUUCUGCCCACUGAACCAUCAGCCGGCACAAGACAGGGCGAAAUCCAGGCAAUCUUUCUCCUAAACACACAUGCACACACAGAGGACACGGGUUAAUGCUCUAAGACCGGUAAGUGGAACAACACUAAUGUGCACCAAGAACAUGCAACUUCCUACCUACAUACUGAAAAGAAACGCAUGCAGGACAGGAAUUCUGUGGUUUAGAUUGGAAAAAAUAUUUAUUUAACAUUUAAAAUGCAUUUUUAAUAUAUACAAGCACAAAUACGUUCAAAAAGUACUAAAUUGUAAAAAAAAAAAAAAAAAAAAAAAAACAGGGAUUUAAACCCAUGCAUU